UACAGAGGGUGCGAGCGUUAAUCGGAAUUACUGGGCGUAAAGGGCGCGUAGGCGGCUAUUCAAGUCAAAGGUGAAAUCCCUCGGCUUAACCGGGGAACUGCAUCUGAUACUGGAUGGCUUGAGUUCGGGAGAGGGAUGCGGAAUUCCAGGUGUAGCGGUGAAAUGCGUAGAUAUCUGGAGGAACACCGGUGGCGAAGGCGGCAUCCUGGACCGACACUGACGCUGAGGAGCGAAAGCCAGGGGAGCAAACGGG
rnacentral:rRNA from 1 species